AGUGAACGCUGGCGGUAGGCCUAACACAUGCAAGUCGAACGGCAGCACAGUAAGAGCUUGCUCUUACGGGUGGCGAGUGGCGGACGGGUGAGGAAUACAUCGGAAUCUACUUUUUCGUGGGGGAUAACGUAGGGAAACUUACGCUAAUACCGCAUACGACCUACGGGUGAAAGCAGGGGAUCUUCGGACCUUGCGCGAUUGAAUGAGCCGAUGUCGGAUUAGCUAGUUGGCGGGGUAAAGGCCCACCAAGGCGACGAUCCGUAGCUGGUCUGAGAGGAUGAUCAGCCACACUGGAACUGGGGCACGGUCCAGACUCCUACGGGAGGCAGCAGUGGGGAAUAUUGGACAAUGGGCGCAAGCCUGAUCCAGCCAUACCGCGUGGGUGAAGAAGGCCUUCGGGUUGUAAAGCCCUUUUGUUGGGAAAGAAAAGCAGCAGGUUAAUACCCCGCUGUUCUGACGGUACCCAAAGAAUAAGCACCGGCUAACUUCGUG
rnacentral:rRNA from 1 species